GCCGGGAUGGCGGAAUCGGUAGACGCAGCGGAUUCAAAAUCCGCCGUUGGAAACAACGUGGGGGUUCGAGUCCCCCUCCCGGCACCA
rnacentral:tRNA from 1 species